rnacentral:rRNA from 1 species
UACGUAGGGUGCAAGCGUUAAUCGGAAUUACUGGGCGUAAAGCGUGCGCAGGCGGUGAUGUAAGACAGAUGUGAAAUCCCCGGGAUCAACCUGGGAACUGCAUUUGUGACUGCAUCGCUAGAGUACGGCAGAGGGGGAUGGAAUUCCGCGUGUAGCAGUGAAAUGCGUAGAUAUGCGGAGGAACACCGAUGGCGAAGGCAGCCUUCUGGGCCAACACUGACGCUCAUGCACGAAAGCGUGGGGAGCAAACAGG